rnacentral:tRNA from 1 species
AGCUCAGUGGCAGAGCACGUGCUUAGCAUGCACGAGGUCCUGGGUUCAAUCCUCAG